rnacentral:rRNA from 1 species
CCNCUAUGCCCAGCCCUAAAUCCAGAUGUUCACACCUACCAGAACAUCCGCCCGAGAACUACGAGCACAAACGCUUAAAACUCUAAGGACUUGGCGGUGCCCUAAACCCACCUAGAGGAGCCUGUUCUAUAAUCGAUAACCCACGAUGCACCCAACCACCCCUUGCCAAAGCAGCCUACAUACCGCCGUCGCCAGCUCACCUCUUAUGAAAGCACCACAGUGAGCACAACAGUCUACCCCACUAACAAGACAGGUCAAGGUAUAGCUAAUGAGGUGGAAGAGAUGGGCUACAUUUUCUAAGCUAGAAAACACACGGACGGGGGCAUGAAACUGCCCCCAAAAGGCGGAUUUAGCAGUAAAGCGGGACAAAAGAGCCCCCUUUAAGCUGGCCCUGGGGUACGU